rnacentral:misc_RNA from 1 species
CACAAGCCUAUAAAUGAGCUAAUUGAUAAACCGACUUACAAACUUAUAAAUAAGCCAUCUUGCGAGCAUAAGCGAAUUGAGUAGUAGUAAUUUCAAGCUCGGCUUGUUUAUUAAAUAAGCCUAAAAAUCAAGCUCAAACUUAGUUCAUUAAGCAAACAAGCUGAGGUUUAUCUAGCCAAACUUCGAGCGGCUAGCAAGCAGCCUGGCUAAAUUACUUUGUAAAUUUCUUAUGUGCUUAUUUCUUAAUUCUAAGUUGGCAUAGCAUACAAAUCUCUGUAUCGUUUUGCUGGGACAUACUUUCCACUUGAAGAUAGAGUGGAAUUGUCUGUGUUAACCUGAUAAAGUGAUAAUUGCCUUUUAUAUGCUUAAUGAUAUGAUUUAAAAAAAAAAGAAAAUCUAAUGUAAUUUAGCACAUGUGGCUUCUCAAUGUUGGAGUUGGAUUAUAUGCAAUUGUGAUGGUCUCCCACAAUUUUGCAUAUAUUGUGACAUUUCUAAUUAAAUUCUGCCUCUUGUUGUCUAAGAAGCGUGAAUCAAGUGCACCAUUUGUUAGCACUUUUUUUUCCCUGAAUGUUGCAUUUAAGCAAGUUUGGAACAACUGAUGACAAUCUUGUUGGAUUUUUUGACAAUUCAUUUUUGCUGAAAUUUUGGAACAAGAUAUAUUUGAAAUCUGACUUUGCAGG